rnacentral:lncRNA from 1 species
CCCCGCUGCUCCAGGAAGCGAGGCGCGGAAAUGAGCACGUAGGGCCGCUGGACUGGAUUUGAGUUAGAAGAAGCCACUUGGACUGAAACUCUUCCGAAUAUGUCAAAGCAAAGGACAGGAAGGAGGCCCGGGGUCCGUCCUUGGGGAGGCCCACGGUGCCGCGGGAAGGAGGGGCUCCCCGUUUCCCUGCAUGCUCCUCUCAGCGUCAGUGCCAUCCCCGGGACUCAGCAGAGCAGCACACGGCUGAGCUUAGAGCAAGAUCGGGACCCUCCCGACCCAGCCACAUCAUAACACCCCGUAUCCUGGACAGAAACACGCAAGCUACGCUGAUUAAAGGCUACCCGUCAGCCAAGCGACACUCGGGCAUUUGCAGAAGUCUCUUCUUAGAUACCGAGCUGCAGACAUGUGCACAGCAUCUGGUCCCACUUCCAGGCCCUAAGACCAGAGAGGAGGGGGCUUCCCCGCAUCUCAGCAGGCAACCGAGGGACUGUCUCAGGUCUUGGGGGUUGUCCCCCAACAACCACCUCCUGCAAAGUCAGCAGAGCAGAAUGGAGCUGCGCCUCUGGCCAACACUGCACACUCGUCAGUCACAGCCACCACAGUGGGGCCUUCAACACGCUGCUCCCGCAGCCCCACAUGUGCAUCUUACCGCUCACUCUUGA